rnacentral:lncRNA from 1 species
GGAUCAUCAUAAGAACAGUAAUCGAUCUGAAUAGACUGAUGCACAUAUAAUUUUCUUCGAGAUAGAUGAGUCUUUGGUCUACAAUGUAGAGACACUGGAUGAUGAGUGCAGGUAGUUAUUAGAAAACAACUAGUACUGAGCGUGACCAUACGAGAGAUCACUUAAAUUUUUAUUCAAUCAUCAGUGAUUGUCUCAAUGUUGUAGUUAUAUGAUUGAUCUUUUGACCUG